AUUUUCAGAGCGACUCUUAGCUUUGUUCCUUUUGUAGACUUGAAAUACUAAACACUGCCUCAACUGAAUCUAACAGAACAAAGGUCGGCACACAUGCAAGUGUAACCCAGGUUAAAAACCUUCAAUCCUAGCAGGCUCCCGUAGCUCAGUAUAAAUGGCAGCCAGGUCACUUCCGUUUCCUUGGCUGGUCGUUUGUGAUGCUGGUUGCUACGUUGAUGCUACAUGCUACACACAGGGAUUCCUCCACGAUUCCUAAACAGAUUAACGUUUUUGUUAACAAUUGCUGCAAUCAGCGGUCAGGUUUUUUUGUUUGGAUAUAUUUUUUUGCCAGGUGCUUGCCGCACCUGAUGACCUUUCAUGGACCUUGAUGGCGAGCUAAGAUUCUAAACCUACCCUCCCUGCCACAUGGUGAAGUAGGAUUAAACGGAAAUUAAUGAACUUUACCCCGGAAGCUUUUCUUUUGUUGUCUUUUGCCUUUACUGGGCACCUGAAAAUAAUCAUGUGAAUUUGAAUGAACUUGUUGAUAUCUUGAAUACAACUAUUUUGUAACGCA